AUGCUCGGCUGCCUUGCCUGCUCACUGCUGCCUUAUUCCUGCCUUCGAGCCCAAUGCUGGAGAGCUGCUGAAGCCCGGUACCCUAACACAACUGUUUGCGUGUUGCUAAAUUACAGUAUCAAGGCAAGGAGCCCUGACUGGAGCUUAUGGGACACGGGGACAUUUCCACUCGUGUGGAGAGCUUUCCCACCUGGAGCAAGCAGAUGGAGUCCAAAGCCCGAAGUCCAGAAGAAGCACAAGCCGUCGGCCUCCACCUCAGCCUGGCAGGAGCCAUCGCAGCCCCUCGCCAUCCUCAUCCCCAGGUUAAGCCAGCCCUUGCUGUACAGACCGCAGCAGUACAGGACGGAAUAAACAGCGGCUUGUGUAAAGGAAGCGUUGCCAGCUUUGUAUGCAGAAAUCUUUCUGGCACCUGCAAGUGGUCUGCAAUUCCCUUCUGGAAGGACUGCAUAAGCCAGAGAGGCAGUAACCCUGUCCUGGGAUUUCCCGAGACAUGAUUGCCAGGGGAUUUCAACCAGGAAACUUGAAAGACUCUUGUUUUCCUGAACCUGGUUGGUACUGACAGCCUGCUCAGCAAAGCAGGUUUAAUAGUGCCUGGCUUGUUGGCUACGAGACCCUUAAGCUGCCAAGGGUGCAGAACUGAGGAUCCUGUUCACAUUCUGCACACAAAAAACAAACAAACGAACAAAAAAAACCAUCCCAGGCCAGGUACAUGGUGCUGGGGCCAGUCCCAGCUCCGUGUGCUGCUGUCCCACUCCUCCACGGUGCUUUCCAACCCAGAUGUCACCGAAGAGACACUUCAAAGUCAAUGUAGAGCUUAACCUGUGACCCUUCUGAGGGUUCAAAUGGCAUCCACCGAGGGUAUUUCUAUCUUGCUUCAUGUUAUCCUGAGUAAUUUGCUUGGACACGAUGCUAAAUGGCUGUGCUAAAAGCAGAGAGAGAAAGUGGUUUGGGAAUCCAGCCUUCCCUGGCAGACUGAGCUGGUGUGUGAUCAGACAGGACUCGUAUUAGUGAACACAAAGCCGAGUUCGCCAUCUGUUAACACCAUCCACGGAGUGGCUCUGACCCCUGCAAACCUGCACAAAGCUGGCACAAAGCUGAGACGGGCGGCUUCGUGCAGGGCUCCACGGGUGCUCAGCAAGCCCAGGCUGCCACCUCCAGGCACACGGAGCUCGCAGAGCCUCGCUUGGUACUGACACAGCCAAACCCGGCACGGUCAGCUGUGAAUUAAAAGCUUCAGAGGUGGCUUGUCGGUAGCUUGGAGUGAUAUCGGGUGUGACUAGAAAAGGAAACUGCUUUGCCAGGUUCCCAAGGGUGCAAGUGGGCUCCCAAAGGAGCCAAGAGCAGUUCUCAAGUGUGCGAGUUGGAAUAAAAGUCCCUCUGGAGAUAUCUAAAAAGGUGUG
rnacentral:lncRNA from 1 species